rnacentral:lncRNA from 13 species
CAAUAAUACAAUUUUGAAUCUCAAGCCCCAAGGAAAAGUGAAGAUAUCACACCAUUGGAGAAAUGUCCUUUUGAGUGAAACUAGCCAGCUCUGGUUUUCUUACUGCUCAAACUCCCCAAGCAUCAAUAUUCCACUAGAAGACAAACCAAAAAAAAUUAUGAAAAUAAUUUCAAAAGUUUCAAGAACCUCAUGCAGACACUGGUAUCUUCAGUUGCUGCUUAUUGGGAUGUGCUGUUCCUGCACUGAGAACAGCACCACUAAAGGACGCCUCGGGCAGAAGAAGGUUACAUGUUACAUGAAAGGAAGACCUGAACCUGAGAUGGAGCUUUGAAAGUCACAAAAGGUACCAGAAACAGAGAAGUUACGCAGUAAUGGACCACCUAACAACACUUCCAAAAGCACAAGCCAAUGAAAUUAAACAUUCUGAUCCUUAAAAUAAGCUCCCUGGGUUGUUUUUGCAUGCCUUUCCUUCUUCAUUGCUUUGGAAGAGGUGUGGAAAAGAAGGCAGACCUGUGAUGUACUACUCAGUAGCAGAUGGCAUGGGAGCCAAAAAGAGCAGCAUUAUUCAUUUGAGAGAUCCAGGGACAAAUAUGGUGGUCUCACGUCAAAACUUUUUUCCCUUCUGUUUCCAGGUUUGGAAUGCAUGAAAAUCAACCUGAGGCUCCCUUUCUUCCCCUUUCAGAAGCCCAAGAAAGUGUCUGGACCAGAAGGAAUAUGUUCCAUUGCCACUGCCGCAUCCCACUGGAGGAAUGAAUGUGCCAAGGUAGAAGAUGCCAUUGAGAGACUGGGAGCAAGAGGAUCAGAGCACCACGCUCCCUGGAAAAGCAGAAGCCUCACAUCAGCACUGAAGACACAUCCGUUUCAAUCUGACCCUUUUUCUACUUCCUCAUGCAGAUUUAAGUCCCUGCUUUUCCAGCAUGCUUCAUAUUGA